UACGUAGGGUGCAAGCGUUAAUCGGAAUUACUGGGCGUAAAGCGUGCGCAGGCGGUCUUGCAAGACAGAUGUGAAAUCCCCGGGCUUAACCUGGGAACUGCAUUUGUGACUGCAAGGCUGGAGUACGGUAGAGGGGGAUGGAAUUCCGCGUGUAGCAGUGAAAUGCGUAGAUAUAGGAAGGAACACCAGUGGCGAAGGCGACCACCUGGACUGAUACUGACACUGAGGUGCGAAAGCGUGGGGAGCAAACAGG
rnacentral:rRNA from 1 species